rnacentral:rRNA from 1 species
GACGAACGCUGGCGGCGUGCUUAACACAUGCAAGUCGAACGGAAAGGCCCUGCUUUUGUGGGGUGCUCGAGUGGCGAACGGGUGAGUAACACGUGAGUAACCUGCCCUUGACUUUGGGAUAACUUCAGGAAACUGGGGCUAAUACCGGAUAGGAGCUCCUGCUGCAUGGUGGGGGUUGGAAAGUUUCGGCGGUUGGGGAUGGACGCGCGGCUUAUGAGCUUGUUGGUUGGGUGGUGGUUUACCAAGGCUUUGACGGGUAGCCGGCCUGAGAGGGUGACCGGCCACAUUGGGACUGAGAUACGGCCCAGACUCCUACGGGAGGCAGCAGUGGGGAAUAUUGCACAAUGGGCGGAAGCCUGAUGCAGCAACGCCGCGUGCGGGAUGACGGCCUUCGGGUUGUAAACCGCUUUCGCCUGUGACGAAGCGUGAGUGACGGUAAUGGGUAAAGAAGCACCGGCUAACUACGUG